AGAUGAAGAGCUCGGGUAUCUGAGGGCUGGUGUGUCUGCAUGCGUGUGUGUUUUGGGGGCCGACUGAAGGAAGAGAAGGCUGGAGAGAGGGAACAUGGGUCUGAGGGCACAUCGCUAAGGGGUCAAGAGGCCUAAAGGAGGAGUCUAAGGCUCUCCAUCGAACUUGGACUUGGUCUACAUUAGACUUUAACCUCCAUGAGGCUUGGACUUUCAGGCUUCCUCCCUCACACCGCGGGCAGGUGAGGCGUCUGCUACAGGCCUGGUCUCGCAGAGGGGGCCCAGCGCCCCCCGCCGCCGCCUUCUCCUGGAGUCUGUGUGACAGAAUGGGACCUGUGGGAAAGCAGCACGUCAGCACCCAGCCCCGCUUGCGCGCCAGCAGCUAAUUAAAGCCAGGAAGGUGAUGGCGAUUUUCAACUCAUUCCCGUUACAAACAGCCGACCUUCCUACCGAGUUCAAGUACCUUCUGCCUGGCCUGGAAGAACAAUAUCUCUCUGUCUCCCUCUUCCACUGGCCCUCACCUGCCUUCCCCUGAACAUGCAUUUUGCCUGACAGGAGACAGAGGCAGUUGAUGCUUGCAGCUUGGUCCAGGAGGCCAGCAGGACCAGAGAGAAGACCACAGCGACACAUGGGGAUGGCUGUCCCACAGGCAGAAAUGAGCAGCCGGGAGGAAGCCCAGGCAGCCAGCCACCCAGCUCCCUCCACAUCGUGGCCCUAGAACGGAGUCUUGAAGAAUA
rnacentral:lncRNA from 1 species